rnacentral:tmRNA from 1 species
GGGGCUGACUUGGCUUUGACAGCGUGUAGAGGUGGUAGGUAAGCAUGCAGAGCGAUGAUGGCAAUGCUCUAUAAUAUCAGUCAUUACUAAAUUUUAAAUGGCGAAAACACUUACGCUCUCGCUGCUUGAUCUGAAGCACAGUAGGAUCGCUUAAUCUCUGUCCCAGGGAUAGAGACGAGACAUCGCCCGGUGGCCCUUUCUGCGAGGCUUAUCGACAUGGCGGUGCAGGUAUAUCGGAGAUAGAACGGAUCAUGCCUCGAGGUCUGUUCGAAAUUUAGAGGCUAAGCUCCAGGUUGGUAGUCUUGAUCCUGCCUGAAGUCGAAAACCAAGUCAAGACUAAGCAUGUAGAAAGCUUAUUAGUUCCGCGUUUGGACGAGGGUUCAAACCCCUCCAGCUCCACUG